ACUGUGGCUCAGCUGGUAGAGCAGCUGAUUCGUAAUCAGCAGGUCGCCGGUUCGAAUCCGGCCAGU
rnacentral:tRNA from 3 species